rnacentral:rRNA from 1 species
GAGCGGAGAUGCAAGUGUUAGUCCGGAAUCACUGGGCGUAAAGCGUCUGUAGGUGGUCAAAUAAGUCAACUGUUAAAUCUUGAGGCUCAACCUCAAAAUCGCAGUCGAAACUAUUCGACUAGAGUAUAGUAGGGGUAAAGGGAAUUUCCAGUUGGAGCGGUGAAAUGCGUAGAGAUUGGAAAGAACACCGAUGGCGAAGGCACUUUACUGGGCUAUUACUAACACUGAGAGACGAAAGCUAGGGGAGCGAAUGGG